GGGAACAACAGUUAGAAAUGCCUGCUAAUACCGCAUAUGCCUUGAGUAUUGCAUGAUACAAAAGGGAAAGGAGCAAUCCGCUGAUAGAUGGGCUUGCGUCUGAUUAGCUAGUUGGUGGGGUAAAGGCCUACCAAGGCGACGAUCAGUAGCCGGACUGAGAGGUUGAACGGCCACAUUGGGACUGAGAUACGGCCCAGACUCCUACGGGAGGCAGCAGUCGGGAAUAUUGCGCAAUGGAGGAAACUCUGACGCAGUGACGCCGCGUGCAGGAAGAAGGUUUUCGGAUUGUAAACUGCUUUAGACAGGGAAGAAACAAGACAGUACCUGUAGAAUAAGCUCCGGCUAACUACGUGCCAGCAGCCGCGGUAAUACGUAGGGAGCAAGCGUUAUCCGGAUUUAUUGGAUGUAAAGGGUGCGUAGACGGGAAGGCAAGUUGGUUGUGAAAUCCCUCGGCUUAACUGAGGAACUGCAACCAAAACUAUCUUUCUUGAGUGCUGGAGAGGAAAGUGGAAUUCCUAGUGUAGCGGUGAAAUGCGUAGAUAUUAGGAGGAACACCAGUGGCGAAGGCGACUUUCUGGACAGUAACUGACGUUGAGGCACGAAAGUGUGGGGAGCAAACAGGAUUAGAUACCCUGGUAGUCCACACCGUAAACGAUGGAUACUAGGUGUAGGGGAUGAAUAAUCUUCUGUGCCGUCGCAAACGCAGUAAGUAUCCCACCUGGGGAGUACGGCCGCAAGGUUGAAACUCAAAGGAAUUGACGG
rnacentral:rRNA from 1 species